AUGCUGACAACAGGGAAACGUUGUUUUGCCACCAUUCAGAGAGCCACCGAUUUACCUUGCACUGCAAACAAUACUGCUGGUCGAACUUCGAAGAAUGUUGGAGAUGUGGAGGAUGCGUCUGGCUGGCGCUCUAGCGUCAGAAAACGUCUCCAGCAUCAUCAUACUAAAGAUGGAUCAAAGCUCGCUGCGGGAGACAAAAUCCACGCCCACAUCACCUGCACCGACGCCGAGAGUAACAUCACCUUGCAGAUCGACGAUCUCGCCUCCUCCCUUGCGCAGCUCCACCUUGGCCCUGCUACCCCCUCCAUCGCCGUUUACGAGACAAACCAGCCGCCGUCGGAGGUCACCCUAUGGCCGCCCCAACGAAUCGAGCGGCGGGGC
rnacentral:rRNA from 1 species